rnacentral:rRNA from 1 species
AACGAACGCUGGCGGCAGGCUUAACACAUGCAAGUCGAACGGGCGUAGCAAUACGCUAGUGGCAGACGGGUGAGGAACACGUGGGAAUAUUCCUUUCAGUUCGGAAUAACUCAGGGAAACUUGAGCUAAUACCGGAUACGUCCUUCGGGCGAAAGAUUUAUCGCUGAAAGAUUAGCCCGCGUCUGAUUAGCUAGUUGGUGAGGUAAUGGCUCACCAAGGCGACGAUCAGUAGCUGGUCUGAGAGGAUGAGCAGCCACAUUGGGACUGAGACACGGCCCAAACUCCUACGGGAGGCAGCAGUGGGGAAUAUUGGACAAUGGGCGCAAGCCUGAUCCAGCCAUGCCGCGUGAGUGAUGAAGGCCUUCGGGUUGUAAAGCUCUUUUGUCCGGGAAGAUAAUGACUGUACCGGAAGAAUAAGCCCCGGCAAACUUCGUGCCAGCCGCCGCCGUAAGAC